rnacentral:rRNA from 1 species
UACGAAGGGGGCUAGCGUUGCUCGGAAUCACUGGGCGUAAAGGGUGCGUAGGCGGGUCUUAAGUCAGGGUGAAUCCUGGAGCUCAACUCCAGAACUGCCUUUGAUACUGAAGAUCUUGAGUUCGGGAGAGGUGAGUGGAACUGCGGAGUGUAGAGGUGAAAUUCGUAGAUAUUCGCAAGAACACCAGUGGCGAAGGCGGCUCACUGGCCCGAUACUGACGCUGAGGCACGAAACGCGUGGGGAGCAAACAGG